AUAUGCUGAUUGGUAGUUAAUGCAUUAACUAAUGUUAACAAAUGAGAUGCUAUUGUUGUUGACGGUCACCACUUUAUAAGUUAAAAUCUUGCAGUAAAACCCAUUGAGAAGUCUUCAGACGAGAGGAGGUGUUCUGUGAGUCACAUCAUUACU